AGGUUGUUAAACCCAGCAGCUGGUUUCCAGUUCACGAACAGCAUCAUGGCGAGUAAACAAACUGUUUUCCUUCUGUUCGGCUUCAUGACACUUUACGUGACAGCUGAUCCACAACUUCGAGAGUUGAUCAGGAGCGUUGCAUAUUGUUCACCCAGCAGGGGCACUGAUCUGGAAUCUGUGAGGCACAGCAUCGCAGAACUAAAGCAAUAUAACAGUGA